rnacentral:rRNA from 1 species
UACGGAGGGUGCAAACGUUGCUCGGAAUCAUUGGGCGUAAAGCGCACGUAGGCGGCCUGUUAAGUCGGAUGUGAAAGCCCCGGGCUCAACCCGGGAAGUGCAUACGAAACUGGCAGGCUUGAAUAUGGAAGAGGGUCGCGGAAUUCCCGGUGUAGAGGUGAAAUUCGUAGAUAUCGGGAGGAACACCAGUGGCGAAGGCGGGUUGCUGGGCUGACACUGACGCUGAUGCGCGAAAGCCAGGGAGCGAACGGG